rnacentral:tRNA from 1 species
GGCUGAUUGGCAGAGUGGUGAUGCAGCGGCCUGCAAAGCCGUGUACGUCGGUUCGAUUCCGUCAUCAGCCU